GACGGACCGUACGAACGUUAUUCGGAAUUACUGGGCUUAAAGGGUGCGUAGGCGGCUCAGAAAGUUGAAUGUGAAAGCCCUCGGCUUAACCGAGGAAUUGCAUCCAAAACUACUGGGCUUGAGUGAGACAGAGGUGAGCGGAACUCACGGUGGAGCGGUGAAAUGCGUUGAUAUCGUGAGGAACACCGGUGGCGAAAGCGGCUCACUGGGUCUUUGCUGACGCUGAGGCACGAAAGCCAGGGGAGCGAACGGG
rnacentral:rRNA from 1 species